UACGGGAGGCAGCAGUGGGGAAUUUUCCGCAAUGGGCGAAAGCCUGACGGAGCAAUACCGCGUGAGGGAGGAAGGCUCUUGGGUUGUAAACCUCUUUUCUCAGGGAAGAAGCUCUGACGGUACCUGAGGAAUCAGCAUCGGCUAACUCCGUGCCAGCAGCCGCGGUAAUACGGAGGAUGCAAGCGUUAUCCGGAAUGAUUGGGCGUAAAGCGUCCGCAGGUGGCGAUUCAAGUCUGCUGUCAAAGGUCGGGGCUCAACCCUGAACAGGCGGUGGAAACUGAACAGCUAGAGUGCGGUAGGGGUAGAGGGAAUUCCCGGUGUAGCGGUGAAAUGCGUAGAGAUCGGGAAGAACACCAGUGGCGAAAGCGCUCUACUAGGCCUGCACUGACACUCAGGGACGAAAGCUAGGGGAGCGAAUGGGAUUAGAUACCCCAGUAGUCCUAGCCNGUAAACGAUGGAUACUAGGCGUGGCUUGUAUCGACCCGAGCCGUGCCGGAGCUAACGCGUUAAGUAUCCCGCCUGGGGAGUACGCGCGCAAGCGUGAAACUCAAAGGAAUUGACGG
rnacentral:rRNA from 1 species